rnacentral:rRNA from 1 species
CCGCGGCAAGACGGAAAGACCCCGUGAACCUUUACUAUAGCUUGACACUGAACAUUGAGCCUUGAUGUGUAGGAUAGGUGGGAGGCUUAGAAGUGUGGACGCCAGUCUGCAUGGAGCCGACCUUGAAAUACCACCCUUUAAUGUUUGAUGUUCUAACGUUGACCCGUAAUCCGGGUUGCGGACAGUGUCUGGUGGGUAGUUUGACUGGGGCGGUCUCCUCCUAAAGAGUAACGGAGGAGCACGAAGGUUGGCUAAUCCUGGUCGGACAUCAGGAGGUUAGUGCAAUGGCAUAAGCCAGCUUGACUGCGAGCGUGACGGCGCGAGCAGGUGCGAAAGCAGGUCAUAGUGAUCCGGUGGUUCUGAAUGGAAGGGCCAUCGCUCAACGGAUAAAAGGUACUCCGGGGAUAACAGGCUGAUACCGCCCAAGAGUUCAUAUCGACGGCGGUGUUUGGCACCUCGAUGUCGGCUCAUCACAUCCUGGGGCUGAAGUAGGUCCCAAGGGUAUGGCUGUUCGCCAUUUAAAGUGGUACGCGAGCUGGGUUUAGAACGUCGUGAGACAGUUCGGUCCCUAUCUGCCGUGGGCGCUGGAGAACUGAGGGGGGCUGCUCCUAGUACGAGAGGACCGGAGUGGACGCAUCACUGGUGUUCGGGUUGUCAUGCCAAUGGCACUGCCCGGUAGCUAAAUGCGGAAGAGAUAAGUGCUGAAAGCAUCUAAGCACGAAACUUGCC